rnacentral:rRNA from 1 species
AUUGAACGCUGGCGGCAGGCCUAACACAUGCAAGUCGAACGAGUGGCGGACGGGUGAGCAAUGUCUCGGAAACUGCCUGAUGGAGGGGGAUCACUACUGGAAACGGUAGCUAAUUCCGCAUACCAUCAGAUGUGCCCAGAUGGGAUUAGCUAGUUGGUGGGGUAACGGCUCACCAAGGCGACGAUCCCUAGCUGGUCUAAGAGGAUGACCAGCCACACUGGAACUGAGACACGGUCCAGACUCCUACGGGAGGCAGCAGUGGGGAAUAUUGGACAAUGGGCGAAAGCCUGAUGCAGCCAUGCCGCGUGUAUGAAGAAGGCCUUCGGAUUGUAAAGUACUUUAAGCGGGGAGGCGUUACCAACAGAAGAAGCACCGGCUAACUCCGUGCCAGCAGCCGCGGUAAUUC